CCCUUAGAUGCUCUGGGCCGCACGCGCGCUACACUGGUCGAUGCAACGAGUUUCUUUCCUUGGCCGACAGGCCUGGGCAAUCUUUGAACAUCGAUCGUGAUCGGGAUAGAUUCUUGUAAUUUUUGAUCUUAAACGAGGAAUUCCUAGUAAACGCAAGUCAUCAGCUUGCAUUGAUUACGUCCCUGCCCUUUGUACACACCGCCCGUCGCACCUACCGAUUGAAUGGUCCGGUGAAAUCUCCGGACUGGCGUGAGUCGGAGCAAUCUGACAAACGCCGGAAAGUUGAUUAAACCUUACCAUUUAGAGGAAGGAGAAGUCGUAACA
rnacentral:rRNA from 1 species